GGCUACACACGUGCUACAAUGGGUAGUACAGAGAGUCGCAAAGCCGCGAGGUGGAGCUAAUCUCAGAAAACUAUUCUUAGUUCGGAUUGCACUCUGCAACUCGAGUACAUGAAGUUGGAAUCGCUAGUAAUCGCGAAUCAGCAAUGUCGCGGUGAAUACGUUCUCGGGUCUUGUACACACCGCCCGUCACACCACGAGAGUUGAUUGCACCUGAAGUAGCAGGCCUAACCGCAAGGAGGGAUGCUCCGAGGGUGUGAUUAGCGAUUGGGGUGAAGUCGUAACAAGGUAUCCGUACGGGAACGU
rnacentral:rRNA from 1 species